CUUGCUUUCUUUGCUGGCGACCGGCGCACGGGUGAGUAACACGUAUCCAACCUGCCCUUUACUCGGGGAUAGCCUUUCGAAAGAAAGAUUAAUACCCGAUAGCAUAAUGAUUCCGCAUGGUUUCAUUAUUAAAGGAUUCCGGUAAAGGAUGGGGAUGCGUUCCAUUAGGUUGUUGGUGAGGUAACGGCCCACCAAGCCUUCGAUGGAAAGGGGUUCUGAGAGGAAGGUCCCCCACAUUGGAACUGAGACACGGUCCAA
rnacentral:rRNA from 1 species